rnacentral:rRNA from 1 species
AGACGGAGGGUCCUAGCGUUGUUCGGAAUGACUGGGCGUAAAGGGUACGUAGGCGGUUUGGUCAGUUAGAUGUGAAAGCCCAGGGCUCAACCUUGGAACUGCAUUUAAUACUGCCAAACUUGAGAUCGGAAGAGGAAAGCGGAAUUUCUAGUGUAGAGGUGAAAUUCGUAGAUAUUAGAAGGAACAUCAGAGGCGAAGGCGACUUUCUGGUCCGAUACUGACGCUGAGGUACGAAAGCGUGGGGAGCAAACAGGAUUAGAAACCCUAGUAGUCC